AUAUCUCAGUUAAAUAUUACUACAUAAACUGUCUGUUCUUAAAUCAGUUUAAUAUCUGAUAUAUCUUUUAUUUAAGAACAGGAUAUUAAAUAGAUUUUUGGAGCAGGGAGUUGGAAUAGAAGCUUGCUCUGUCCAUGGACUCCACAUGGGCCUGGUAUUGUAAUACAUCCAGGAAUGGUGCAACUUCU